UUAAGCGACUAAGCGUACACGGUGGAUGCCCUGGCAGUCAGAGGCGAUGAAGGACGUGCUAAUCUGCGAAAAGCGUCGGUAAGGUGAUAUGAACCGUUAYARCCGGCGAUGUCCGAAUGGGGAAACCCAGUGCAAUUCGUUGCACUAUCGUUAACUGAAUACAUAGGUUAACGARGCGAACCGGGGGAACUGAAACAUCUAAGUACCCCGAGGAAAAGAAAUCAACCGAGAUUCCCCCAGUAGCGGCGAGCGAACGGGGAGCAGCCCAGAGUCUGAAUCAGCUUGUGUGUUAGUGGAACGGUCUGGAAAGUCCGACGGUACAGGGUGAUAGUCCCGUACACCAAAAUGCACAGGCUGUGAACUCGAAGAGUAGGGCGGGACACGUGGUAUCCUGUCUGAAUAUGGGGGGACCAUCCUCCAAGGCUAAAUACUCCUGACUGACCGAUAGUGAACCAGUACCGUGAGGGAAAGGCGAAAAGAACCCCGGCGAGGGGAGUGAAAAAGAACCUGAAACCGUGUACGUACAAGCAGUGGGAGCACCUUCGGGUGUGACUGCGUACCUUUUGUAUAAUGGGUCAGCGACUUAUAUUCUGUAGCAAGGUUAACCGUAUAGGGGAGCCGCAGGGAAACCGAGUCUUAACUGGGCGUUAAGUUGCAGGGUAUAGACCCGAAACCCGGUGAUCUAGCCAUGGGCAGGUUGAAGGUUGGGUAACACUAACUGGAGGACCGAACCGACUAAUGUUGAAAAAUUAGCGGAUGACUUGUGGCUGGGGGUGAAAGGCCAAUCAAACCGGGAGAUAGCUGGUUCUCCCCGAAAGCUAUUUAGGUAGCGCCUCGUGAAYUCAUCUUCGGGGGUAGAGCACUGUUUCGGCUAGGGGGUCAUCCCGACUUACCAACCCGAUGCAAACUACGAAUACCGAAGAAUGUUAUCACGGGAGACACACGGCGGGUGCUAACGUCCGUCGUGAAGAGGGAAACAACCCAGACCGCCAGCUAAGGUCCCAAAGUCAUGGUUAAGUGGGAAACGAUGUGGGAAGGCACAGACAGCCAGGAUGUUGGCUUAGAAGCAGCCAUCAUUUAAAGAAAGCGUAAUAGCUCACUGGUCGAGUCGGCCUGCGCGGAAGAUGUAACGGGGCUAAACCAUGCACCGAAGCUGCGGCAGCGACACUAUGUGUUGUUGGGUAGGGGAGCGUUCUGUAAGCCUGCGAAGGUGUGCUGUGAGGCAUGCUGGAGGUAUCAGAAGUGCGAAUGCUGACAUAAGUAACGAUAAAGCGGGUGAAAAGCCCGCUCGCCGGAAGACCAAGGGUUCCUGUCCAACGUUAAUCGGGGCAGGGUGAGUCGACCCCUAAGGCGAGGCCGAAAGGCGUAGUCGAUGGGAAACAGGUUAAUAUUCCUGUACUUGGUGUUACUGCGAAGGGGGGACGGAGAAGGCUAUGUUAGCCGGGCGACGGUUGUCCCGGUUUAAGCAUGUAGGCUGRUURUCCAGGCAAAUCCGGAUAAUCAAGGCUGAGGUGUGAUGACGAGGCACUACGGUGCUGAAGUAACAAAUGCCCUGCUUCCAGGAAAAGCCUCUAAGCAUCAGGUAACAUYAAAUCGUACCCCAAACCGACACAGGUGGUCAGGUAGAGAAUACCAAGGCGCUUGAGAGAACUCGGGUGAAGGAACUAGGCAAAAUGGUGCCGUAACUUCGGGAGAAGGCACGCUGGUGUGUAGGUGAAGUCCCUGCGGAUGGAGCUGAGACCAGUCGAAGAUACCAGCUGGCUGCAACUGUUUAUUAAAAACACAGCACUGUGCAAACACGAAAGUGGACGUAUACGGUGUGACGCCUGCCCGGUGCCGGAAGGUUAAUUGAUGGGGUUAUCCGUAAGGAGAAGCUCUUGAUCGAAGCCCCGGUAAACGGCGGCCGUAACUAUAACGGUCCUAAGGUAGCGAAAUUCCUUGUCGGGUAAGUUCCGACCUGCACGAAUGGCGUAAUGAUGGCCAGGCUGUCUCCACCCGAGACUCAGUGAAAUUGAACUCGCUGUGAAGAUGCAGUGUACCCGCGGCAAGACGGAAAGACCCCGUGAACCUUUACUAUAGCUUGACACUGAACAUUGAGCCUUGAUGUGUAGGAUAGGUGGGAGGCUUUGAAGCGUGGACGCCAGUCUGCGUGGAGCCAACCUUGAAAUACCACCCUUUAAUGUUUGAUGUUCUAACGUUGGCCCCUKACCGGGGUUGCGGACAGUGUCUGGUGGGUAGUUUGACUGGGGCGGUCUCCUCCCAAAGCGUAACGGAGGAGCACGAAGGUUAGCUAAUCCUGGUCGGACAUCAGGAGGUUAGUGCAAUGGCAUAAGCUAGCUUGACUGCGAGCGUGACGGCGCGAGCAGGUGCGAAAGCAGGUCAUAGUGAUCCGGUGGUUCUGAAUGGAAGGGCCAUCGCUCAACGGAUAAAAGGUACUCCGGGGAUAACAGGCUGAUACCGCCCAAGAGUUCAUAUCGACGGCGGUGUUUGGCACCUCGAUGUCGGCUCAUCACAUCCUGGGGCUGAAGUAGGUCCCAAGGGUAUGGCUGUUCGCCAUUUAAAGUGGUACGCGAGCUGGGUUUAGAACGUCGUGAGACAGUUCGGUCCCUAUCUGCCGUGGGCGCUGGAGAAUUGAGGGGGGCUGCUCCUAGUACGAGAGGACCGGAGUGGACGCAUCACUGGUGUUCGGGUUGUCAUGCCAAUGGCACUGCCCGGUAGCUAAAUGCGGAAGAGAUAAGUGCUGAAAGCAUCUAAGCACGAAACUUGCCCCGAGAUGAGUUCUCCCUGAGACUWUAAGUCUCCU
rnacentral:rRNA from 1 species